GCAAUGAUGAAUUCGAUAGCGUUGAACAUAUAAAGUGAUGAUUUUGUCCUCUAAGAAGUUCUGAGCUG